UGGGGAAUUUUGGACAAUGGGCGAAAGCCUGAUCCAGCAAUGCCGCGUGUGUGAAGAAGGCCUUCGGGUUGUAAAGCACUUUUGUCCGGAAAGAAAUCCUUGGCUCUAAUACAGUCGGGGGAUGACGGUACCGGAAGAAUAAGCACCGGCUAACUACGUGCCAGCAGCCGCGGUAAUACGUAGGGUGCAAGCGUUAAUCGGAAUUACUGGGCGUAAAGCGUGCGCAGGCGGUUUGCUAAGACCGAUGUGAAAUCCCCGGGCUCAACCUGGGAACUGCAUUGGUGACUGGCAGGCUAGAGUAUGGCAGAGGGGGGUAGAAUUCCACGUGUAGCAGUGAAAUGCGUAGAGAUGUGGAGGAAUACCGAUGGCGAAGGCAGCCCCCUGGGCCAAUACUGACGCUCAUGCACGAAAGCGUGGGGAGCAAACAGGAUUAGAUACCCUGGUAGUCCACGCCCUAAACGAUGUCAACUAGUUGUUGGGGAUUCAUUUCCUUAGUAACGUAGCUAACGCGUGAAGUUGACCGCCUGGGGGAGUACGGUCGCAAGAUUAAAACUCAAGGAAUUGACGGGGUCAUAGCUGUUUCCU
rnacentral:rRNA from 1 species